GCCAUGCUAGAGGAAUGGUUAACUCGUCGGUCUUACGUUAUAUGUCCACACCGAAGAUUCCUGGUUCGAUCCCAGGGUAUGGCU